rnacentral:lncRNA from 1 species
UCACGCGCCAUUAUUUCCGGGUUCUUCAUGCCCUGCAUGAAUCCCGGAUGUGAGUCCGCCGGUGACAGCGGUUCACGCCUGCGCAGAAGAGGCGCUUGGCUCGUCAGAAUGACGCAGGCCAGCAUUGACCAAUAGAAAUGGGCCACGUCACCCGAGAGGCUAUAAAAGGCAGGCUCGCGUCCGGCUCGGGGUCUUUCCGCCAUCUUGAAGAAUGUAGAAGAAACUCUAAUAAAGCGUGCUUCAGAAGAAUCCUGAGUGUUGCGUGCUCCUUGCUGGCGAGGUGCGCGCGACAAGUGGUGCCGAAACCCGGGAGUGACGACCAUCAUCGCCGGCAUCAGCGGAGACCCCUGACUUCAGGAGGAUUCAGAACUGAGACGCAGGAGGGGAGGAUCCACCAACUUUCCGAGAGGUAUUCUCUCUUCUCUUCUGCUCCACCUACUUAUGGUUAGUUCUUUUCACCACCAACAACAGGACCAUCAACAUCACCACAACACUUCAAUGGUCUGCGCAACAUCACCUUCGCACCCACUCCAGUUUGCGUGUGGCCACCAUUUCUUUGGCUUGUGGCUAAUGUGACUCUCUCACAGACUAUGGAACUGAAUUGUGCCAAUGAUACUUGAUUUCCUCAUGCUGUGAUCGUCCGAAUGCCUCGAUUCAUUCUUGUGCCAACGGAAGUGACGAAUCCCUUGAGUAUUGUAAGAUCUAAGAGAGAUUUUGGGAUUACGGCAGCAAUAGUAUCGGCG